rnacentral:rRNA from 1 species
UACAGAGGGUGCAAGCGUUAAUCGGAAUUACUGGGCGUAAAGCGUGCGCAGGCGGUUUUGUAAGUCUGUCGUGAAAUCCCCCGGGCUCAACCUGGGGAAUUGCGAUGGAGACUGCAAGGCUAGAAUCUGGCAGAGGGGGGGUAGAAUUCCACGUGUAGCAGUGAAAAUGCGUAGAGAUGUGGAGGAACACCAGUGGCGAAGGCGCUUUUCUGGU